AUGAACGCUAGCUACAGGCUUAACACAUGCAAGUCGAGGGGCAUCAGGAAGAAAGCUUGCUUUCUUUGCUGGCGACCGGCGCACGGGUGAGUAACACGUAUCCAACCUGCCCUUUACUCGGGGAUAGCCUUUCGAAAGAAAGAUUAAUACCCGAUAGUAUAAUGAUUCCGCAUGGUUUGAUUAUUAAAGGAUUCCGGUAAAGGAUGGGGAUGCGUUCCAUUAGGUUGUUGGUGAGGUAACGGCUCACCAAGCCUUCGAUGGAUAGGGGUUCUGAGAGGAAGGUCCCCCACAUUGGAACUGAGACACGGUCCAAACUCCUACGGGAGGCAGCAGUGAGGAAUAUUGGUCAAUGGGCGAUGGCCUGAACCAGCCAAGUAGCGUGAAGGAUGACUGCCCUAUGGGUUGUAAACUUCUUUUAUAUUAGAAUAAAGUGCAGUAUGUAUACUGUUUUGUAUGUAUAAUAUGAAUAAGGAUCGGCUAACUCCGUGCCAGCAGCCGCGGUAAUACGGAGGAUCCGAGCGUUAUCCGGAUUUAUUGGGUUUAAAGGGAGCGUAGGUGGACUGGUAAGUCAGUUGUGAAAGUUUGCGGCUCAACCGUAAAAUUGCAGUUGAUACUGUCAGUCUUGAGUACAGUAGAGGUGGGCGGAAUUCGUGGUGUAGCGGUGAAAUGCUUAGAUGUCACGAAGAACUCCGAUUGCGAAGGCAGCUCACUGGACUGCAACUGACACUGAUGCUCGAAAGUGUGGGUAUCAAACAGGAUUAGAUACCCUGGUAGUCCACACAGUAAACGAUGAAUACUCGCUGUUUGCGAUAUACAGUAAGCGGCCAAGCGAAAGCAUUAAGUAUUCCACCUGGGGAGUACGCCGGCAACGGUGAAACUCAAAGGAAUUGACGGGGGCCCGCACAAGCGGAGGAACAUGUGGUUUAAUUCGAUGAUACGCGAGGAACCUUACCCGGGCUUAAAUUGCAGUGGAAUGAUGUGGAAACAUGUCAGUGAGCAAUCACCGCUGUGAAGGUGCUGCAUGGUUGUCGUCAGCUCGUGCCGUGAGGUGUCGGCUUAAGUGCCAUAACGAGCGCAACCCUUAUCUUUAGUUACUAACAGGUCAUGCUGAGGACUCUGGAGAGACUGCCGUCGUAAGAUGUGAGGAAGGUGGGGAUGACGUCAAAUCAGCACGGCCCUUACGUCCGGGGCUACACACGUGUUACAAUGGGGGGUACAGAAGGCAGCUACCUGGUGACAGGAUGCUAAUCCCAAAAGCCUCUCUCAGUUCGGAUCGAAGUCUGCAACCCGACUUCGUGAAGCUGGAUUCGCUAGUAAUCGCGCAUCAGCCACGGCGCGGUGAAUACGUUCCCGGGCCUUGUACACACCGCCCGUCAAGCCAUGGGAGCCGGGGGUACCUGAAGUACGUAACCGCAUGGAGCGUCCUAGGGUAAAACUGGUGACUGGGGCU
rnacentral:rRNA from 1 species